rnacentral:lncRNA from 1 species
AUAAAGGGAGAGACAAAAAUAGGAAGGAAGACAAAUACGAUCUGUAACGAUUUGAAAGAAAGAAGGAAAAUCCUUUUUGUUGGAAAGUGUUAAAAUGUGGGAUUGAACUUCCUUCUUUAGCUAUGAGGAAGAGCUGCACCGGAGUCGGAAGUAGAUGCUCGCCAGACGUCGAGAAAUCGGAGAGGAGGGGAAGAAAUUAGGUUUACUCAUAUUACCAAAUUUCUAACCGUUGGUUACUACUGUAGACGAUUAGUAGUAACUAUUGUAUUAGGAGAAAAUGAAAUCAGAUUGAAUUAAUUGAAUGUUAAUCAGACUGAUUUGUAUUAAUACUAAAGUUAUUGAACCAAAUGACCAACUAACACUAACAACUUUCUAUCUUUAAUGGACUAAUUCAAAUACCGGCCCAAUUGUUUUCUUUUAUUACUUUGGCCCAUCUGGAUAUUUAUUGAAAUAUUUGCAGCUUUGUCCCUGUAUUCCAUUUCCUUCUUGACAAACCUGCAUACCUAUGUUUUCUCUAAUUACACAUUAGUCCAGUUAGCCUUAAUUAGUGUUAAUUACUUCUUUACUCCCUCCUCAAGCUCUGGAAUAAAUAUUUAUGAUUUCAAGCUUGACAUAGGUUGAGGUAAUCUCAUUUUCUCCCAUAGGUUUAGUAAACAUGUCUGCCAAUUGGUAUUUUGUUCCAAUUUGCUUAAGACAAAACACUCCUUGGAUAAUUAGUUCUCUAAUAAAAUGGCAAUCUAUCUCUAUGUGUUUUGUUCUUUCAUGAAACACGGGGUUAUUAGCUAGAUUGAUUAUUGAUUUAUUAUCACAGUAUAUUGUUGUUUGAUUAUUAGUUUUGAUUUUCAUUUCUUUGAUUAACUGAUGAAUCCAUAUUACCUUACAGGCUGUUUGAGCUAUUGCCCUGUAUUCAGCCUCACAUGAGGAUCUUGAUAUUAUUGAUUGCUUCUUGGAUUUCCAGGAUAUGACUGAAUUUCCAAUUAAAAUGCAAAAGCCAGUUACUGACUUCCUGCUUAUUUGGCAUCCUGUCCAAUCAGAGUCACAAAAGGCAUGAAUGCUUAGAUCUUCACUAUUUUUAUAUAAAAUGCCUUGUCCUAGUGCACUCUUUAGAUAUCUUAGUAUUUUAAAUAAUGCUUUCCGAUGAACCUCCUUUGGUUCACUCAUGAACUAGCUGAGCCAGUGAACUGCAUAACUCAGGUCAGGCCUGAUGAUAUUGAGAUAUAUUAGUUUGCCAACUAGUUUUCUAUAGAAAGUUGGGUUUCCAAUUUAUUUGGAUUCAUUCUUAAGGUCUAUAUUUCUUUCCAUUGUUAUUUUGGAUUCUUUUGCUCCUGAUAUGCCACUUUCUUCAAGUAUUUCUAGUGCAUAUUUCCUUUGAGAUAAUAGGAUUCCUUCACUAGAAUAUGAUACUUCUAUUCCUAAAAAAUAGUUUAGUUUCCCAAGGUCUUUCAAUUUAAACUUAUUUUCUAAUUGUAUUUUAAGGAUGCUUAUUUCUAUCUCAUUGCUACCUGUAAUGAUAAUAUUAUCCACAUAGGCAAUUUGGUAUAUUAUGUUUUUAUUUCUCUCUUAUAAAUAGAAAGUAAUCUGAUUUGGUUUGAAUGAAGACAAAAUCUAGUAGUGUUUCUUAAUUUUUUAAACCAAUUUAUAGAGGCAUGUUUAAGGCCAUAUAAAGAUUUGUUAAGUUUGCAUACUCUUGUCUCUUUCUAUGAGAAGGCCUUGGGGUGGCUUUACAUAUACUUCCUCAUGAAGAUCACCAUGAAGGAAGGCAUUAUUGACAUCAAUUUGGUAUAGGUUCCAUAUCUUUUGUGCUGCAAAAGCAAUUAAUAUCCUUACUGUUGUCAUUUUUGCAACAGGUGCAGCGGUUUCAUAAAAAUCCAAACGUUCCUUUUGAGAGAAGCCUUUGGCUACUAGCCUUGCUUUAUAUCUCUCAAUCUCUCCAUUUGGUUUGUAUUUAAUUUUGCAUAUCCACUUGGAUCCUACUACCUUCCUUCCUUUGGGAAGUUCAGUUAUGGUCCAAUUGUUGUUUAAGAUGAGGGCUUCCAUCUCUUUCUUCAUUGCAUCUACCCAUUUUGGGUUGUUUGGUGCUUCAUUGAAUGAUGUUGGUUCAAUAUUUUUGUUGAUUUGUUUUAGGAACUCCUUAUGUUUUUAUCAUUUACCCUAUGAUAUGACACAUAAUUGCUCAUAGGGUAUUUGGUUUUCUUGGAUGGAUCAUCAUCCAUUUGGAAAUCCUCAAAAUGUUUAGGCUUGGUUAUUAAUCUUCCCAUCCUUGUUUGUUUUGGAUUUUUAGUUGUUAUAGUUUUAUCAUUUUUAGUGAUUUGAUCUUGGUUUUUAUUAGCAUGAUUAUUUUCAUAUUUUUCCAUAUUAUCUUGACUGUUAGAAACUUGAAUUGAAGCUUCUUUACCGUUACUCUGUAUUUCUGAGUUUGCUAAGGUUGCUUGCUGUUCUGGAUUCCAGCUUCGUGUAUUUUUUGGUAUUUUUUGGUAUGUUUAUAUUGUCUAUAUCAGUUUGAUUUUUAUCAAUUUUAUCUGAUAUAGACUGUUUUUCCAGUGCAUUUCCAGACUGACCAGACUGGUCAUUUCCAGUUAUACCUGGUCAGUUUUCAAAAAUGAUUCCAGAGCCUGAAUUUUCAUUGAUUUUAUCUGAAAAACACUGUUUUUCAUUUGUAUUUUGGUUCUGGUCAGACUGGUUAUUUCCAGUUAUACUAGACCUGUUUUCCAAAAAUAAUUUCAGACUGGUUUGGAUUGUUAUUUUUUUCUGUUAUUUUCAGACUUGAUAUUGCCUUGGGUUGAUGUGUAUUGAUUAUUUCUUGCAAUGGAAAAAUAUUAUUUAUUUUAUUUUGUUGGAUUUUACGUGUUGUUUGUUGGAAUGGGAAAACAUCUUCCCUAAAAACAACACUACUUAUGUAGAAUUUCUGAUUUUCUAUGCUAAGUAUUAGAUAUCCUUUUAUAUUGGGAAGAUAUCCUAUAAAUACUCCCCUAAAAGUUCUUGAAGAGAACUUAUGUUCUUUGCUCUGUAUUGUUGUAUAACAUAUACACCCAAAUGUCCUUAAGAAAUUAAAUUUUGGUUUUUCUGUGUAGAAUUUCAAAUGGGGUUUUAUUAUCUAAGAUUUAUGAUGGGAUUAUAUUUAUUAUGUAGGUUGCAUCCAAGAUACAUUCUCCCCAAUAUUUUAAGGGUAUGUUAGCUUGUAUGUGUAGAGAUCUAGCUAUGUUUAAUAGACAUCUAUGUUUUCUUUCAACUCUUGCAUUUUGUUGAGGGUAUUAAGGGCAUGUGAGUUGGUGUAUAAUUCUAAAAUCUUCAAACAUAUUUUUGAAAGUAUUGGAUUUAAAUUCUCCACCAUUGUCACUCCUUAUUACUUUAAUAUUUUUGCAAAAAAAGUUUCAAACUUUUAUAAUGAAUUUCUUUAUGCAUUCAUAAGCAAAAGAUUUAUCUUUGAUUAGAUAGAUCUAAGUUGUUCUACUUAUAUCUUCUACUAUAGUUAGAAAAUAUUUAAAGCCAUCUUGAGUGUCAAUUGGGAACUUGCCCUAAAUGUCUAUGUAUAUUAGAUCAAAUAAAAAUUUACUUGUUGUAUUACUCUUAAUUAGUAUAUUUGAGUUUAUUUUGUUUAGAAAUGGGUAAACAUCACAAUCUUUAUUUGAAAAAUUUCUGAAUUACAAUUAUUCAAAACAAAAAAUUUAACAAUUUUAUUUAAACUACGAUCUACUUGUUGAUUCUUGAUGAGCAUAGCAAGCUUUUGAUUGAAGAUAUGUCCAAGUCUGUUUCGCAGGUGGAAGCUUUGGUAGAGAUUGCGGAGGAAAUUAAAUCAGUUUGAAGAAGAAAUGAAAUCUGUUUCGAUUGAUUGAUUGUAGCUACAUAAUUGGUUCCCAUUUAUGUACAUCAAUAGAUGAUUCUAGAGACCCACUCAGGUUGUUAUAAGAAUCUAUGGUUAUCUUGAUUCCAUGGGCUUCUUAUAACAACCUUGCUAUUUAUCAAUUUACAAUAUUAGUUUAUGUAGAUUAAUCUAACACUUUCCCUUCAAUUUGACGUGCAUUUUCUCUAACUUCCAAUCUUUGUCUGAUUUCAAUGAACCGUGAGGAUGGAAUAGGUUUAGUAAAUCCAUCUGCCACUUGAUCAUGAGUUGGAAUGUGUGAUACUGCAAUGACUCCUUUCUUUACUAGUUCACUGACAAAGUUAAACUGCACGGCCAUAUGUUUCAUUCUUUAGUGAAACAAUGGAGAUUAUACGCAAGAAAUUUUGAGCUCAGACUAUCAGUGAAGAUUAAUGACGAUCUUGUUUGAGAGAAACCAAGUUCUUGAAGUAAAUUUCUAAUCCAGAUUAUUUCAGUUGUGGCAUCUGAAAUUGUGCGAAAUUAUGCAUCGGUGGAAGAUCGAGCAACACUGGUUUGCUUCUUUGCUGACCAAGAAAUUAAAUUUCGUCCAUAGUAGAUUGCAUAUCUUCCUGUACUUCUUCUAUCUUCCAUUGAUCCUGCCCAAUCGGCAUCGGUAAAAGAUGUGAUAUUUGGUUGUUUUGAGGGAGUAAAAAUCAACCCAAAGUGAGACGUGCCUUGAAGAUAUCUUAAAACUCUCUUGGCGGCCAGCCAAUGAGAUGUAGUGGGAUUUUGUAGAUAUUGGCAGAGUUUGUUUACCGGAAACGCUAUAUCGGGUUUGGUGUGUACCAAAUGUUGUAAAGCUCCGAUUGUGGAUCUGUAGGCAAACUUUUCAAUUAAAGGUAUUCCUCUGAUGAUACCAACUUAGUUGUAGAUACCAUUGGAUCGAGUGCUGGUUUUGAUGAUUCCAUAUUUGUACGUUUGAGUAGAUUUUGGACAUACCUUUGUUGAGAUAACAUGACACAUCCAUUUUCAUUUAUUUUAUAAAUUCCAUACCCAAAAAGUACCUUAAUAGUCCGAGAUCUUUCAAUCGAAACCUCUUUGCCAUCCUUUCAAUAAGUCUGUUAACCUUUAUUGCCGAUAUUCCUGUAAUAAUUAUAUCAUCGACA